GGUCCGGUGGUGUAGUGGUUAGCAUGGUAGCCUCUUACCCCAGCAGACCUGGGUUCAAUCCCAGACGGACCC
rnacentral:tRNA from 1 species